AAAUAAUUGGAGUGUUCCUCGAGGACCACUUUUGACCCUUGGUUCUCCAGGGGCUGGUGGUGGCCAAAUCCUAUUUUUGUCCCUCAAAAUACCACAAACGCUUCUGACUGACCGGGUCUGCCUGCUGUAAGCUUGCAAGCUGCAGGGCUCUGCUUUGCUGCCUUUAAAGCUGCUGGUUUUAACAGUGGCAGGAAGAUCAGGACCUAACAGAUGUAAAAGCCUCUGCCCCAGGAUCUGCAUUUUGUGCCCGUGAGGUCUGGGUGCAUCACCAACCCACAGCCCAAGGGCUCGCAGCGCGUGGCUUAGCUUUGACCAGGACCCACAACCACAACGUGCAGAAAAUCUUUUAAAAACUCAUUUUUUGCCAAGUCUUUUGAAAAACACAUUAACUGGAAGCAGACUUUUUUUUAUUGACAAUGGCUACUGUAUAAUGGCAGCAGGGAAUGGGCCCGCAUUAAAUCCUGAGCGUAACUUUGUGUUAAUGGGAUCUUUUCACCACCAGCCACAAAGAGGAGAAAGCCUCCAGCGAAGGUGCAAGGUCCUGAGUCCUCCACUGAUCUAAAAAUAUUCGGGGCUGCUUGAGAAGAGGUCGGCUCCCCCAGGACUUUACGCUGCUCGUGGUGAUGACGUCUGCUCUCGUGUCACGUAAGGAGCAAGGCUUCUACAGCUUGGGGUGAAUUUCUGCACUUUAGACUCUACGUGAAAAUGUAAAUGAUCGACCUUGCUUCCAAAUAAUUGCAGUUUUCCACCAUAUGUUGCUGAACUAACACGAAGCUAUUUUGGUGAGCGUACACGUGCUUUGCAGCUAUAGGGAACGAAGGUGCCUCCGAGAGCUCCCUGCCUCCCUCCAGGGGUAAAGAAGCCAUCACAAGCCUCUAGCUUUAGAGAUUCUUAUUUUCAUUAGCUUUUAUUUAAAGAAAUCGCUUGAAAGUAAAGUUCUGGGGGAAAAAGAAGAAGCCUUCCUAAGCACAGGGUCUGGAGCAUCGCAGUUCUGAGUAAACGUUUCUGGCUGAGCUAUAAAGCGCCGGUAAUGGGAACGCUGACAGCCCGUUACCCACAGUGGUCCCAGCUGGCCCCGCUGAUAAUAAAUUACACGAAACGAGGAGCAAACAGGACUCUGAUUCACCCGGGCUGUGGGCAACAGAGUGGUAAAAACAAGUCGGGUUUCAGCACUGCCUCGUGUUUGUUUUUUUUUUUUAUGAUUAUUAUUUUUUUAUUUUUAUUUUCCCAGCUGGUAUUUUGACCCAAAGGCUGGAGUGUUUUGAAUUACUGGUGUGUGUGUGUGUUAAGACGUUAUACUGUGAAUAUUUCAACAUAUAUGAAUCUUUAAUACGCCACCGCUCAGCUUAGCUCAGGAAAUUUGAAAAUUAUCUGUGUAGCGACUACACAGCUUUCAUAAAAACAUUGUUAUACGAUGUACCAGCAAAACAACAAGCUUAAAUUUGCCAUAGUACUGGCUGCAUGCUUGCAAUCAAUUUAGCUUUGUACAAAUGCAAAAAUGUUCCCCGUGGGAAUGUGCCGGAGAUCCGAUUUUUCCAGUGCCUAUGGAACGCUGUAAAGGGAUCAAAAGUGACCCCAAGCAGCAUGCAUAUGGAUGUUUCACUGCACAGCCUAUUAAAAUGUUCCCAAUUUAAAAUACCUCUGCCCAGACAAGUCCAGAUGCUUCGAUGCUGUCAGCACAAACGUGACAAAACGGGGACCGGUUUGGGAUCAGCGCAUCCCCAGCUCGGCUGGGUCAAGCCAGGCACCGGCGCUGCGCCGCGAGCAUCUCCGCAGCACAGCACAUGCUAAUGAGCUCCAUUAUUUAAUAAUAAACAGCAACAUUUAAUUAGCGCAACCAUUACUAUGCAUAAAGGGCUUUAAUUACACGGCAGGCUGGUGGAAAUACGCCAGUUUGGGGUGAGGUUGAUCGGCAGGCCCCACUCCAUCAGUGCACCAAAAUGGGCUGCUGCCUUCGGUGCCUCCUCUCGCUGCUCCGUUACAUGCUGAAAUUGUGUUUUCUUGGGGAUUUUUGGGUGGAAGGGGACAUUCCCAGUCUCGAUUGCCUCCAUGGAGGGCUGGUGCUGGUGCUGGAUGGGAAGGGGUCCCGUCGGAGCCUGGAGCAGAGCUUGCCACUAACACGGCCGCUCCUGCCCUGCUGCAGGUCCCCAGCUGGAAAA